AUUUUGGUAUUAUCUUUUUACGAUUUGAUGUCUUAUUGAUUUAUUGUUCUUUGAUUUUUGGUUUAAGAUUAUUGAUAGGUAGUUGUUUGAUGUAAAAUUGUCGUUUUAGAGUUGUAUAUAUUUUAUGUGUAUUUAAAUGUUUGGUAAUUAUUACAUCUUAUUGGUUGUUUGUAGGUAGGGUUGAACAGCUGGUCAUUUGUUUAGGCUUUUAAUUAAUGUUCUGGUUUCAAUUUAGGGAUUAUAUUUUAACAGUGUUAUGUCUUGUUGAUUUUUUUUUCUUUUGGUUUAUGUUUUAAGAGUUUUGAUAGUUAGUUGUUUUAUGUAAAUUUGUCGUUUUGGAGUUGUAUAUAUUUUAUGUGUAUUUAAAUGUUUGUUAAUUAUUACAUCUUAUUGGUUGUUUGUAGGUAGGGUUGAACAGUUGGUCAUCACCACUGGAUUUGAAUUACGGAAUUUCUUUAACUCAUUGAUGCUGGUCGGCAUUUUUUUUGUGAUUUGAUAAGGUAUUUGUUAUCCCCCAGGGGAACACGUAAUCACGUGUUUACGGGUCUUAGCGAACCCGGGGUCCUGAGCUCUUGUUGGUUGUAGGUAGUAAUAAUCAGCUGUUCAACUCUUUUGUCUUUAAUUUAAGGAAAUGUUUUUACUUAUUGUUAUAGGUCUGUUUGGGUGCUUCGGCAUCUUAUUGUGAUUUGUUUAGGAAUUAGAUCCCCCAGGGGAACACGUUCUUACGUGUUUACGGGUCUUAGCGAAUCCGGGGUCCUGAGCUCUUGUUGGUUGUAGGUAGUAAUGAUCAGCUGUUCAACUCCUUUGUCUUUAAUUUAAGGAAAUGUUGUUACUUAUUGUUAUAGGUCUCUUUUUGUGCUUCGGCUUCUUAUUCUGAUUUGUUUGUAUCCCCCAGGGGAACACGUUCUUACGUGUUUACGGGUCUUAGCGAACCCGGGGUCCUGAGCUCUUGUUGGUUGUAGUUAGUAAUGAUCAGCUGUUCAACUCUUUUGGCUUUGAUUUAGGUAAAUGUUAUUACUUUUUGUUAUAGGUCUGUUUGGGUGCUUCGGCGUCUUAUUGUGAUUUGUUUAGGGAUUCGUUAUCCUCCAGAGGAACACGUUCUUACGUGUUUACGGGUCUUAGCGAACCCGGGGUCCUGAGCUCUUGUUGGUUGUAGACAUUCGUUUGAUGGAUUGUUCAUUAUGUGAUAUAGGAUAUAUUUGUCUAUUAAUUUGAAAGAACUUGAACUUUUUUUUUGGAUCAACAUAAAUCAAGGAUUCUACAGGAGCCAGAACCUGGAUUUUUUUUUUGGAUCGACCCAAAUCAAUUUCCCUCCGGGAGCCGGGGAUCCCCUUUUCAUUUCUACUUCUGAACUGUACACUUUGAAUAUUUAAUGAACUUGGAUUUUGAAUCGUUUCAAUCUAAAGGAGGUGUCCUUUGAGAGCCGGGAAUUCAUCAAUUAUAUUGAGAAGAGUGAUGGAAACAAGAUUGGAGUUAUCUAUAUUUAAGUAUUUCUUUUUUUAUUUAUAAUGGAUUUACUAGGAAGAGCGCAAUAGGACUUGUGUUUUGGCUUUCAAUAAGAAUUUAAUUAUUUAAAAUUUUAUAAUCUUAAUUUUGUCUAGAGUUGGGUAUUUCUUUUUUUUUUUUAUAGUAGUGGUUUUUCUAUAUGUUUUAUUGGUUUUUUAAUUUUGUAGCGAAGAAAAUGUGCUGACUUUUAAUGAGGAAUUCUCAUUUAACUAUUUGAUGUAGGAUUAUUUAUUGUUCUUUGGCUGAUCUUUUUUAUGACUUUUGCUAGGUAUAGGUUUGAUGA